rnacentral:rRNA from 1 species
GAUGAUCAGACACACUGGAACUGAGACACGGACCAGACUCCUACGGGAGGCAGCAGUAGGGAAUCUUCCACAAUGGACGAAAGUCUGAUGGAGCAACGCCGCGUGAGUGAAGAAGGUUUUCGGAUCGUAAAGCUCUGUUGUUGGUGAAGAAGGAUAGAGGUAGUAACUGGCCUUUAUUUGACGGUAAUCAACCAGAAAGUCACGGCUAACUACGUGCCAGCAGCCG